AUUUAAGGAAUACAAUGUUAAUACGUUGAAAUUCGCUGGCAGCUGCCAUUUGUCAAGGCUAUUCCAAUGUUCCCUUUCAGCAUUGUAAUUUCACAUAAUUUCCCUUACAAUUGUAGCACCCUUGUCUCUGCAAUUUGUGUAUGAAUAACAGAAUACUUUUUCUCUUUUGUUUCGUUUUUGCUACCUCUGAUCCAAAUAAAGAUGGCUUUUAGUAUUAAAAGUGGAAGAAAAUUACAGGUAAUUAUCUUUGACGGUAAAAACGCUGUAAUCAGCGGGCUACAUCAAAAAUUACCCUAAUUAUGCCUGCAUUUAAGAGAACGGAGGAAAAAAAAAAAACCCUUUCGUGGAUAAAAAACAUAAAUUGUCCCAAAUAUCUGCUCAGAUUGGACAGGGCUGCAGCUGGAUGCUUUGUUCAGAAUUGAUCCUGUGGAGCCUGGCAUUCAGUAUUUCACAAUGAGAGGCAGAACAAGAGAAAAUAAAAAAAAAAAAAAAAAAAAAAAAAAACAUUUUGUCAAUAGUGUACUGCAAUGAGUGUGCUAGAAACUAACAAAGACUGACUGACCACGAAGCAGCAAAGACCGAACAGAAGAUUAGUAUCGAUAGGAGAACGUCAGACAUGUUGGCUGCAGCAGAAGAUGGUCCGAGAAGUCUGCAGAGCCAUCCUGGUGCUAUUAGAGUUGUUGCUAAUAAUAGGUGUUUCAUCGCAAGAAGAUCAAUCAUGUUGAAUUUUCCAAGGAAUGGCUUCAGAUCUACAUCUGUCCCAAUGGAUCAAAUUACACUUUUGUUUUUAGCUGCAUUACUUUAAAAUUGGUUGCCCUUUUUCAUGCAUGUGUGUCAAUGGGCAGCUAAACUGAUUUUCAUUUCAAUCUCUUGUCAGCUGAAUAUGUAGAGUUGAAAUGCAUUGCUUCUCCAUCCAAUAAAUAUUUUUCCUUUAA